rnacentral:rRNA from 1 species
CCUACGGGUGGCAGCAGUAGGGAAUCUUCCGCAAUGGACGAAAGUCUGACGGAGCAACGCCGCGUGAGCGAAGAAGGUCUUCGGAUCGUAAAGCUCUGUUGCUAGGGAAGAACAAGUACGGGAGGAAAUGACCGUACCUUGACGGUACCUGACGAGGAAGCCACGGCUAACUACGUGCCAGCAGCCGCGGUAAUACGUAGGUUGCAAGCGUUGUCCGGAAUUUUUGGGCGUAAAGCGCGCGCAGGCGGUCUUUUAAGUCUGAUGGUAAAACUUGCGGGUCGAGCGUAAGCGGUCAGUGGAAUCUGGGUGAAUUGAUUGAAGAAUACGAAAGUGGCAUUUCUCUUGUAGCAGUGAAAUUCGUAGACAUGUGGGGUUAGAACAGGGGCGAAUCAGACUUUCUGCUAUGUAUCUUACGUUGGCGUGCGAUAGCGUGGAGAACAAACAGGAUUAGAUACCCUUGUAGUC